GAUGAACGCUGGCGGCGUGCCUAAUACAUGCAAGUCGAGCGGUAAGGCCUCUUCGGAGGUACACGAGCGGCGGACGGCUGAGUAACGCGUAGGAACAUACCCCAAAGUGAGGGAUAACUGCCCGAAAGAGUAGCUAAUACCGCAUGUGAUCUAAGGAUUAAAGCUUCGGCGCUUUGGGAAUGGCCUGCGUAUGAUUAGUUUGUUGGUGAGGUAAUGGCUCACCAAGACUACGAUCAUUAGCUGGUCUGAGAGGAUGAUCAGCCAGACUGGGACUGAGACACGGCCCAGACUCCUACGGGAGGCAGCAGUAGGGAACCUUCCACAAUGGGCGAAAGCCUGAUGGAGCAACGCCGCGUGCAGGAUGAAGGCCUUCGGGUUGUAAACUGCUUUUAUAUGCGAAGAUUAUGACGGUAGCAUAUGAAUAAGGAUCGGCUAACUCCGUGCCAGCCGCCGCGGUAA
rnacentral:rRNA from 1 species